GCUUUCGGGGUGUAAAGGUAGCACACUCGGCUCGUAUUCGAGAGAUCCAGGGUUCCAGUCCCGGCGAGAGUA
rnacentral:tRNA from 1 species